AGAUGGAGUUUAUUCGCACAAGAAGGUAAAUGCAGCCUAUACUUUACACGUACAUAUGUGGGUUACUAAUAUAUGUUAUAUCUUGUGCCCUUCUUCAUUACACUGUGUUUUUGUUUGUGGGUGUGCAAUUACUUCAUGAAAGCUAUACCGGAGAAGAAAUAUGUGCUGGCUCAUCUAGCAAUCGAUGCGGUCGCUGCUCACUUCUUGAGAUUUCGUAAGGAGACAAAAGUUAUGCUUGUCAUCUUUUGUAACCUCUGUGCAGCUCGAAAGAGUCUCUGGAACUUCCAGCUUUGGCCGUGUUUGAUUAUGUUACUUAGCUGGAGUAAUUGAUGUAUUAAGCCAACGUCGAUCCCACCACCCAAACAAUUAAGUAAUUCUGGAAAAAAAAAUUCUUCAGUUUAAACCCAUUAAAAAUAAAAUAAAAAUAAAACUCCUGCAUGUAAUUAUCACUAGAGUUUAUUUUUUAUUUUAUUUUGAAAUACUUGUCUUAAAACAUAAAUAAUUGAGAACUACAAAUUACCGAAAAAACAAAAAUAAACAAAGUUUGGGAUAAUGAAUAGUAGUUUCAAAUUAACACCACAAACUAGACUAAUCUGCUACACCUAUAAAAAACACAAAUACUGAC
rnacentral:lncRNA from 1 species